rnacentral:rRNA from 1 species
CCCUACGGGWGGCAUGCAGUAGGGAAUCUUCCGCAAUGGGCGAAAGCCUGACGGAGCAAUGCCGCGUGAGUGAUGAAGGUUUUCGGAUCGUAAAGCUCUGUUGCCAGGGAAGAACGUCCUUGAGAGUMACUGCUCAAGGAGUGACGGUACCUGAGAAGAAAGCCCCGGCUAACUACGUGCCAGCAGCCGCGGUAAUACGUAGGGGGCAAGCGUUGUCCGGAAUUAUUGGGCGUAAAGCGCGCGCAGGCGGUCAUUUAAGUCUGGUGUUUAAUCCCGGGGCUCAACCCCGGAUCGCACUGGAAACUGGAUGACUUGAGUGCAGAAGAGGAGAGUGGAAUUCCACGUGUAGCGGUGAAAUGCGUAGAGAUGUGGAGGAACACCAGUGGCGAAGGCGACUCUCUGGGCUGUAACUGACGCUGAGGCGCGAAAGCGUGGGGAGCAAACAGGAUUAGAUACCCCWRGUAGU